GAGGGUAUAGCUCAAGUGGUAGAGCGCAUGCUUAGGAAGCAUGAGGUCCUGGGUUCAAUCCCCAGUACCUCCU
rfam:Camelus ferus unplaced genomic scaffold scaffold863, whole genome shotgun sequence.